UACGGAGGGGGCAAGCGUUAAUCGGAAUUACUGGGCGUAAAGCGCACGCAGGCGGAUUGUUAAGUCAGAUGUGAAAUCCCCGGGCUCAACCUGGGAACUGCAUCUGAUACUGGCAAGCUUGAGUCCCGUAGAGGGGGGUAGAAUUCCAGGUGUAGCGGUGAAAUGCGUAGAGAUCUGGAGGAAUACCGGUGGCGAAGGCGGCCCCCUGGACGAAUACUGACGCUCAGGUGCGAAAGCGUGGGGAGCAAACAGG
rnacentral:rRNA from 1 species